rnacentral:rRNA from 1 species
GGGUCAGUAGGUUGGUCGUGCCACCGGUACGUACUGGUCUCACUGAUUCCCCCUUCCUGAAGAACCGUAAUGCCAUUAAUUUGGUGUUGCGGGGAAACAGGACUGUUACUUUGAAAAAAUUAGAGUAUUUAAAGCAAGCUAACGCUUGAAUACAUUAGCAUGGAAUAAUGAAAUAGGACGAUCGAUCCUAUUUUGUUGGUUUCUAGGAUUGACGUA